rnacentral:rRNA from 1 species
AAUAGAUACCCUGGUAGUCCACGCCGUAAACGAUGAGUGCUAAGUGUUAGAGGGUUUCCGCCCUUUAGUGCUGCAGCUAACGCAUUAAGCACUCCGCCUGGGGAGUACGGUCGCAAGACUGAAACUCAAAGGAAUUGACGGGGGCCCGCACAAGCGGUGGAGCAUGUGGUUUAACUCGAAGCAACGCGAAGAACCUUACCAGGUCUUGACAUCCUCUGACAACUCUAGAGAUAGAGCGUUCCCCUUCGGGGGACAGAGUGACAGGUGGUGCAUGGUUGUCGUCAGCUCGUGUCGUGAGAUGUUGGGUUAAGUCCCGCAACGAGCGCAACCCUUGAUCUUAGUUGCCAGCAUUUAGUUGGGCACUCUAAGGUGACUGCCGGUGACAAACCGGAGGAAGGUGGGGAUGACGUCAAAUCAUCAUGCCCCUUAUGACCUGGGCUACACACGUGCUACAAUGGAUGGUACAAAGGGCUGCAAGACCGCGAGGUCAAGCCAAUCCCAUAAAACCAUUCUCAGUUCGGAUUGU